UACUACCUUGUAUUCCUAAAAUUUGACCCUAAUUCUAUACCUUUUUCGUUAAUUUUAUGAGGUAUAAAAAGAUUUUAUUUUUCUUAAUUGAUUUCUCUAAUCCUUGAUGAAAUGGAUAAAAAAGAGAAAAAAGUGAAGCUUGAAUGUGCUUGGAAAUAAACAUGAACAAAACCUGCAGUGUAUUACAACAACAACAACACUGCAGUGUAUUACAAUUGAUCAAAAAAAAUUAAGAAAGAGACUACAUUAAUGAAAAACUCACUGUUGAUAGUGA
rnacentral:lncRNA from 1 species